CAAACUAGAGACAGGAGAGUAGAGCUUUAUUGUGUAAAAGCUGAGUUGGUAUAAGUCUGAAACAGCAACAAUGUUUAGCCCAGCCCAUCUAUUUACAAUAUAUAGGGGUUGGGGUUUCCCAUACACAUCUGUCCUGCCCUCCCUCAGCCUCAAGAUUUAUCCCUAUCAGCAACAUUAUUUCCUGGAUUUGUCAUUGGCUACAAAAGACACAACUCUUCAGGGUGAUAUCCCAUCAUAUAAACCUACAUAAACCUACAUACACAUUACCUCCUAGUCCCUCUGGCUCUCUUCCCUUUUUUUUGAGACAGGGUCUGGCUUUGUCACCCAGGCUGGAUUGCAGGGGUGCAACUGCAACUCACGACAACCUCCGCCUCCUGGGAUCAAGUGAUCCUCCCUUAGCCUCCCCAAUAGCUGGGACUACAGGCGUGCAGCACCACACCCAGCUAAUUUUUGUAUUUUUUUGUAAAGAUGGGGUUUCACCAUGUUGGCCAGGCUGGUCUC